rnacentral:rRNA from 1 species
UACGUAGGGGGCUAGCGUUGUCCGGAUGUAUUGGGCGUAAAGAGCGUGUAGGCGGCCACUUAAGUCCUGCGUGAAAUCUUGCGGCUCAACCGCAAGCGGUCGUGGGAAACUGGGUGGCUAGAGUGCGGGAGAGGAGAGUGGAAUUCCUGGUGUAGCGGUGGAAUGCGCAGAUAUCAGGAAGAACACCCGUGGCGAAGGCGGCUCUCUGGAACGCAACUGACGCUGAGACGCGAAAGCGUGGGGAGCAAACAGG